rnacentral:rRNA from 1 species
GAGUUUGAUCAUGGCUCAGGACGAACGCUGGCGGCGUGCCUAAUACAUGCAAGUCGAGCGAGUCUGCCUUGAAGAUCGGAGUGCUUGCACUCUGUGAAACAAGAUACAGGCUAGCGGCGGACGGGUGAGUAACACGUGGGUAACCUGCCCAAGAGAUCGGGAUAACACCUGGAAACAGAUGCUAAUACCGGAUAACAACAGAUGAUGCCUAUCAACUGUUUAAAAGAUGGUUCUGCUAUCACUCUUGGAUGGACCUGCGGUGCAUUAGCUAGUUGGUAGGGUAACGGCCUACCAAGGCGAUGAUGCAUAGCCGAGUUGAGAGACUGAUCGGCCACAUUGGGACUGAGACACGGCCCAAACUCCUACGGGAGGCAGCAGUAGGGAGUCUUCCACAAUGGACGCAAGUCUGAUGGAGCAACGCCGCGUGAGUGAAGAAGGGUUUCGGCUCGUAAAGCCUGUGUUGGUGGUAGAAGGACGAGGUAGGU